AGAAUCAACGCUGGCGGCGUGCCUAACACAUGCAAGUCGAACGAGAAAGGGACUUCGGUCCUGAGUAAAGUGGCGCACGGGUGAGUAACACGUGACUAACCUACCCUUGAGUGGGGAAUAACUUCGGGAAACCGAGGCUAAUACCGCAUAACACCUACGGGUCAAAGGAGCAAUUCGCUUAAGGAGGGGGUCGCGGCAGAUUAGCUAGUUGGCGGGGUAAUGGCCCACCAAGGCAGUGAUCUGUAUCCGGCCUGAGAGGGCGCACGGACACACUGGAACUGAAACACGGUCCAGACUCCUACGGGAGGCAGCAGUGGGGAAUUUUGCGCAAUGGGGAAACCCUGACGCAGCAACGCCGCGUGGAGGAUGAAGUCUCUUGGGACGUAAACUCCUUUCGAUCGGACGAUAAUGACGGUACCGAGAGAAGAAGCCCGGCUAACUUCGUGCCAGCAGCCGC
rnacentral:rRNA from 1 species